CAAGGGAAGAGUCUGGUAACAAGAUCUAGAAUCUUACAAAUGCAUUUGGUAAUGAAACAAUCAGGGAUAUGUAUAGGAUUAUGUACAAGAGCAGUCAUCUACCAUUGCUUGCACAAGUGAAAACUGCAAAUACUUCAAAAGUUCAAAAAUUUAGGGGCUAGUUUAACAAAUUAUAGCCAUACAGCCUUUAAAAAUGAUUACAUAAUCUGACUUAUCUGCAAAGAUAGGAGGCAGUAUUUGGAGACCAUACAUGCUCACAUUUUCCUUUAAAAAAAAAACAAAAAAAAAAACCUUCACGUGUAUAUAUGAAAAGUCUUCAAGUUUACACAGCACUACGUUAGUAUGGUUAUAUCUGAGUGAUGAGGUUGUGGAUGAGUUUAACUUUUUUCACAUACGUUUAUGUACUUACUAUUGGGCAGUUUUGCUGGGAGCAGGCUUUUUUUUUUUUUUAAGUUUUUCUUCUUAAAAAAGUCACAAAAUACCAGUAAACUACUUCUUUGCGAAGGAAAACGGGCAUCUUGUGUGCAUCCCGCCGGGGACGGGGGCUGAAAGAAGCGUCCCCACAGGCGCGACCACGGCGACCGGAAACACGCCAGGAGGGCCCGCGGGGAUUCUGGGUAUGCAACGGACCCCGCGUUACCUCACGACGAAGAAACUGUUACCAUUUAAAAGGAAAAGUAACUUCGCUACAUAACAUCUACUAUUAACGCAGUCUAGGAAGGUUUUAUCCUGAAAUGCGUGCGGAGGAGGCUAGAGGGUGAAGGUUUUUUUCUCGGAAAUUACAGUCUUCCUCAACUCCCGCCUCCUCUCCACCCGGCGCUUCCCGUCACUUUGGAGGGACUCGAAGCCGUCCCAGGCCAUUUCUAUGGGUGACGACUUGUGGACUACCGUGAAGGUAAAGGCCCCGCGCCGACUAUUGUGAGCUAUUAACGCCCGGAAAAGCAGACGGUGAGCGGCGGAGUCUGGGCGUAGAGGCGAGGCACACUCUGAUUGGCCAGCGGCUCCCGGGUGCUGCGCAAUGGGUGUGGGUGCCAGGCAGGGCUCGGCGGGGCGGUGCGUUGCGCCCGCGCGUGCGCACCAGGUACCCCCUGCGCCUGCCCUUCUCUGUCGUGCCCGCGUGGGCGCGCCAGUGGCGGAACUUGGGCUUGAUUAAGGCGAUCCCUACGAGUGGAGGAGCAAGCCAUUAUAGAAGCAACGUGUAUCCCAAGCAUCAAGACUGGCACCUCCAAGCUCCUUCCCCCUGGAACUUUACUCAACAUUUCAGCAUCAGGCCAUUAUAGCUUUGAAUUGUGCCUUUGAGCAUCUCUGUUUUUGCAUCCAUUAACAAGAUGUGUCCUAAGAAAUCAUUUAUGAUGGCGAGAACCCUGCUGGCCAUCUUAUAUGCCCCUAAGGACGGCAUAGAAGGAGCUGACUGCUGGUAACUUUUCUGCCUAUCUCUUCCUGUAUUUGACUUUUUCGAGAAAAUAACAAAAUAAGGAGUUCCCACUGAUGCACAGUAGGUUCGGAGUCCAACUGCUGCGUCUUAGGCCACAGCAGAGAAUAUGGCCCUGAGACUAUACUCUGGCCUGAAAAUGAACUUCAGGAAGCUACUUUAGAGAGAAGAGGGAUGCAGCUUCUCCUUUAACUUCCCUUAUUCCUGUGAUGACUGGAGCGCUCACAACAUUUUUAGGUCAUGAGAUAAUGCACCGUAAUGGAGGGCAGAGCAUCAAGAAAGAAGGAACCUCAGUUCCUGAUACAAUGAAGCACUAUAGCAACCCUGAAAUUUUUAGAUGGCUUGAAGACAAAUUGGAGAUGGCAGAAAAAAGACUCAGUGGCCUUGAAGGCAUAGAGAGUACUAUUCAGGAAAUUAUAGCAUUACUGUAUCUGGGAUGCAUGACAAGAAUAAGUUCAGGAAGGCUCCAAGGGGAAAGCGGUUCCAGAAGAAGUGAUGGUAGGCCUAGAGAGCUCUCUGAGCUAGUCCAGCCAUCCAGUUGGCCUGAGGUAAGAAACUGGGGAGGUUGGAGAGAGGUAGAACUAAUAGCACAGCACAAUAAAACUCACAAGGAAGUGCUGGUUCAGAGUCCCCUAUCAGAGAAAGAAAAAUUGAGGCAAAAUGCAGUUUCUCUUCACUCCCCUGAUAAUAAAACAAAUUUACAGGAUCUCAUCAAAACUAUGGAAGAAAGACAAGUUCUGAAAACUUCCUGGUGUGCAAGGCAUAACAAAGAAAAUGUAUUGUACAGCACUUAUGUAUGUAAAUGUCCAUAAUGUCUUUGAUAUGACUUUUAUCUAGUGGGCCUGUUACUGAGUCCAAGGUUACACUGCUGCCCCACAACAGGCCAAUAAAUCCAGAGACAAGAUGCUGGGGCAGGGAAUAGCAACUUUAUUCUGAAAACCAGCAGGUCAGGAAAACAGUGGACUAGUGUCCCAAAGAAUCAUCUUACCUAAGUUAGAAUUUAUACUAAAAGGGGAGGCGGUGUGGCUGGUUGUUGGGAAAUUUCGGUGCUGGAAUCCUUUGUUCUUGCAGCCACAUAGGUUCAGUCACAAUAUUCCCAUAAACCUCUAACAAGGCAAAUGUUAUUCUCUGUUCUGCAACUUUUUAUCUCUAUGUGAUAAGCAUCUCUAUAUUCAGAGCAUUAAGAAUGGGCUAUCAUGUAUAUUUCAGGCUAUAGGCAACAUUCUUUUACAAAAGGUAUAGAGACAGCAUGACUAAGCACAGGCAACAGAGCACCAGGGUUAGAGCUCAAGGAAUAGAUCCAAUAUGGAGUCAGAUCUGUUCUUCUCUGUUACAAGCUGUUUUAUAUUAGUGAACAUUUUUUAAAUGUGCUUUUUUUGGGCUUCCUCCUGCCCUAUUUUGGUUCCUGUCUCCAUGUUUCUCAUGAAGUGUUUCAGUUCCUCAGCCACACGUUCUCUUGGCAUAGUUUUCGGGAACAUAAAUUUCAAGAUUGGCAAAGGGAUACUGUACCUUACCCAUUCCAUCUGAACAUUAUUACGAUGCCACAAAAUCACCUAUUUUCAUAAUAAAAUAUACCAUGCUUCUUUUUAUUAAUAAUUGAAAAUGAACAGAAAUAUUGUUAUUUGUUUGAGAAGGGCUCCAUUGUUUUUCUUUAGAAUGUUAAUUUCCUGCUUUGCAUUUCCUUCCUCAUAGAUAAAUGCAGAGAACAUGUCUCUUCUUGGGAAAAGUGGGCAUUCUUGAAGAAGUAAAAGAUUGACCUCAUUGUAUACAUUUAAUGUAACAGGCACAGGUAGUUUGUGAAAAUUCAGAAAUACUAUUUUUUUCCAAAGUAUGGUUAAUGACAGGUUGGAUAAUCUCUUGAUUUGGGAACUGAGUUCUACUACAUUUAAUACAAUCCCAAAUGACUAAGACGUGAACCAGAGAACACUGAGUCUGGAGGUUCGCAGUUUCUGGUAUCAUUUCUGUGGCUCAAAAGUGUGAGGGUCAAAGUUUCUCCGUUGUUUCUUACCAUCAUGAUUAUAACAUGGAUAACUGUGGAUCUAACCAUCACAUUCAAAUUCCAGGAAGGAAGCGGGAAAGAGAAAAGGCAAAGUCCAAGAGGCCAAGCCAGCCAAAUCUUUCCCUUUAAAGGGACUUUCCUAAAAAUCCUGCUUCUCUCUGGCCAGGAUGGUAUCACACAACCUCCUAGCUGCAAGGAAAUUGGGAAAUAUAUUUGUUUGUUUUUUUCAGCUGGGUAUAUUGCCACUUCCAGCAAAAGUAGGAAGGAAGAAAGGGAAAAUAGUUACUGAUCAAAAAAUUGGCACUCUGUACCCCUCCUUUUUAUUUAAUUUUUUGGCCUUUCCACAGCAUAUGGAAGUUCCCAGGCCACGGACUGAAUCUGAGCCACAGCUGUGAUGCUUCAGCUGUGGCAACACCGAAUCCUUAACCCACUGUGUCAGGCCAGGAAUCAAACCUGCAUGCCAGCACUCCAGGGACACUGCCGAUCCUGUUGCACCACAGAGAGAGCUCCACCACAACCUUUUCUUGGAAAAAUAUCAUCUUAUUUCAAGAUCAUGUCUGCAAGCUGAUGGUUGCUUUUUAAUUAUAAGAAUAAUAAAUGGGGCCUUCACAAAAUGGCCCCACCGCUGCUUUCAGUCCCUAGUGGACUGAGUUGUAAUUGCUGGUUGAAUUAUUCUGCUAUUACUAAAGCAAGUCGCAUUGCCUUCUCUUGGGGGAAUAGCUUUAGAAUAGCUUCUAAAAGAAAAAUAAAAGAAUUUAAAACACUACCUAUGCAAAACUGUAGUGAGUGGGUCUUAACGGUAUUUUUUAAAGUAUAUUUUCAUGGCUUACUUGUAAUAUAGUAGUUUUGGGGACACAAUAACUACCCACGCAUCAGAAGUUGCCCUUAUGACCAUUUCAGUGCAUAAGGUAUGGUGGUAGGAGAAUUGGCUUUGAAAUGAGACACACCUGGACUUGCAAUGUAGGUAAUAUUAAAAGCCUCCAAAGUGGUCUGCCUGCGUUUGCCCUUGCUAUUUAUAGACCAUUCUCAGCCAGCUGCAGAGAAGACCCUAAAUGAUGUCAGAUAAAGGUACCCUGCUCAAAACCCCCAGUGGCUCCUCAUCCAAAGAAGCCAAAAUCCUUACAAUGGCCUCCAAGGUCCUCUCCUUCUCUGCACACACUGACCCAACCCCCGAGUCUUUCUGACCUCUUUCCUGUCUUUUCUUCCUCUUCCCUCUGUUCCAGCCUAGCCUCCUUGCUGUUGCUCAAAGCCCACUCCCCCUCAGAGCUCUGCACUGCCUCUUCACUGCCUGUAGCACUUUCCCCUCUGAUACCCACAGGGCCCACCCCUCACCCUUUCAGGGCAUUUUUGAAGGUCACCUUUUUUAACGACUUCCUUUAAUCUGCAGAACAAGCUUCCUUUCAUCUUCUUUAAUUUUCUAUAGUACUUGCAUCUAUCACCACUAUCUUCUUAUUGCAUUUCAUUUCAUUUCAGUCGUAGAAGAGGAUUGAAAUCUUUACUCCUAGUCUAGUAUCUUAUUUUAAUUAUUUUUCUAAUUAAUACAGUAAAAAAAAAUUCAAACAGUUUAGGAGUUCCCGUCGUGGCGCAGCAGAAACUAAUCCGACUAGGAACCAUGAGGUUUUGGGUUUGAUCCCUGGCCUCGCUCAGUGAGUUAAGGAUCCAGCGUUGCCAUGAGCUGUGGAGUAGGUCACAGACGCAGCUCGAAUCCGGAGUUGCUGUGGCUCUGGCGUAGGCUGGCAGGUAUAGCUCCAAUUGGACCCCUAGCCUGGGAAUCUCCAUAUGCUGCAAGUGUGGCC